rnacentral:rRNA from 1 species
UACGUAGGGUGCGAGCGUUGCCCGGAUUUAUUGGGCGUAAAGAGCGUGUAGGCGGCCAUACAGGUCAGCUGUGAAAACUCGAGGCUCAACCUCGAGACGUCGGUUGAAACCGUAUGGCUAGAGUCCGGAAGAGGAGAGUGGAAUUCCCGGUGUAGCGGUGAAAUGCGCAGAUAUCAGGAGGAACACCAAUGGCGAAGGCAGCACUCUGGGACGUGACUGACGCUGAGACGCGAAAGCGUGGGGAGCAAACAGG